UCCCCGGGGGGGCCCCUGGGGGUUAUUGGGGGGGCGCCGGGUUUUUCCCCUCCUCCUCCGGUCCCCCGGGGGGGGGGGGUUUUUUUUUUUCUCACCCCCCCGGGGGGGCCCGGGGGAGGGACCCCCCCCCAAACCCGCGGGGAGGGGGGGGGGGGGGGGUCCACCCCCCCCCCGCCCCCUGGGCUUAAAAAUAAUUUUCCUUUUACCUUUCCCAAAGGAAAUUUGUUUGCCUUCCAUAACAAAAAAAAAGGUUUCCCUUUUUUUUUUGGUUUUACAAAACGGCGAUUCUUUUUUUUUUGGAAAUUUUUAAAAAAUUUUUGGGGCGGGCCGCUGGGGGGUUAUUUUUUGGGCCCCCCGCAAAUUUUCUGUUGGGGGGGGAGUUGCCCCCCUCGGCCUGGCUUUCAUGAAAAAACCAAAAGGGUCCCUGCGGAGGAGGGGGAGGGGAUAGGGGUUCUCCCCCCUUUUUUUCUUUUGUCGCCACCAUUCGCUGAUAUCUUCUUGACACAUAUCCCUUCUCCAUCUAGAGGACUUGAGAAGACCCCGUCACUGGGGUCUCGCACAUGAACCUGCGGAAGGAUCAUUGUCGAAACCUGCACAGCAGAUCGACCCACGAAUUUGUGACAACCGACCGAGGACGGGGGGCGCUCGUCGGCCCCCUCGCCCCCCCACGCACGGCGGGGACCUUCGCGUCUCUUUGCCUGCAAACCCGAAACCCCGGGCGCGGAAACGCGCCAAGGAAAACGAACCAAAAGAGCCGCGCCGGAGGCCCCGGACACGGUGCGCCCCCGGCGUCGGCGUCUUGCAAAUUAUUUAAAACGACUCUCGGCAACGGAUAUCUAGGCUCUCGCAUCGAUGAAGAACGUAGCGAAAUGCGAUACUUGGUGUGAAUUGCAGAAUCCCGCGAAUCAUCGAGUUUUUGAACGCAAGUUGCCCCCGAAGCCUUUCGGCCGAGGGCACGUCUGCCUGGGUGUCCCGCAUCGUUGCCCCCCCCAAACUCCGGUUCGGGCGGGGCGGAAGUUGGCCUCCCGUGCGCGCUUGCGCGCGCGGUUAGCCCAAAAGCGAGUCCUCGGCGACGAGCGCCACGACAAUCGGUGGUUUUUCGACCCUCGUUCCACGUCGUGCGCGCCCCGUCGCCCGAACGCGCUCUUGCGACCCUUACGCGUUGCCUCGGCGACGCUCCCAACGCGACCCCAGGUCAGGCGGGACUACCCGCUGAGUUAAGCAUUCAAAUCGGUU
rnacentral:rRNA from 1 species